AACGGGGCGUUGCUAUACAUGCAGUCGAACGCGUUGGCCCAAUUGAUUGAUGGUGCUUGCACCUGAUUGAUUUUGGUCGCCAACGAGUGGCGGACGGGUGAGUAACACGUAGGUAACCUGCCCAGAAGCGGGGGACAACAUUUGGAAACAGAUGCUAAUACCGCAUAACAACGUUGUUCGCAUGAACAACGCUUAAAAGAUGGCUUCUCGCUAUCACUUCUGGAUGGACCUGCGGUGCAUUAGCUUGUUGGUGGGGUAACGGCCUACCAAGGCGAUGAUGCAUAGCCGAGUUGAGAGACUGAUCGGCCACAAUGGGACUGAGACACGGCCCAUACUCCUACGGGAGGCAGCAGUAGGGAAUCUUCCACAAUGGGCGCAAGCCUGAUGGAGCAACACCGCGUGAGUGAAGAAGGGUUUCGGCUCGUAAAGCUCUGUUGUUAAAGAAGAACACGUAUGAGAGUAACUGUUCAUACGUUGACGGUAUUUAACCAGAAAGUCACGGCUAACUACGUGCCAGCAGCCGCGGUAAUACGUAGGUGGCAAGCGUUAUCCGGAUUUAUUGGGCGUAAAGAGAGUGCAGGCGGUUUUCUAAGUCUGAUGUGAAAGCCUUCGGCUUAACCGGAGAAGUGCAUCGGAAACUGGAUAACUUGAGUGCAGAAGAGGGUAGUGGAACUCCAUGUGUAGCGGUGGAAUGCGUAGAUAUAUGGAAGAACACCAGUGGCGAAGGCGGCUACCUGGUCUGCAACUGACGCUGAGACUCGAAAGCAUGGGUAGCGAACAGGAUUAGAUACCCUGGUAGUCCAUGCCGUAAACGAUGAGUGCUAUGUGUUGGAGGGUUUCCGCCCUUCAGUGCCGGAGCUAACGCAUUAAGCACUCCGCCUGGGGAGUACGACCGCAAGUUGAAACUCAAAGGAUUUGACGGGGCCCGCACAAGCGGUGGAGCAUGUGGUUUAAUUCGAAGCUACGCGAAGAACCUUACCAUGUCUUGACAUCUUGCG
rnacentral:rRNA from 1 species